GGACGCUUAGCUCAGCUGGUUAGAGCACCUCGUUUACACCGAGGGGGUCGAGGGUUCGAUUCCUUCAGCGUCCACCA
rnacentral:tRNA from 1 species